UCCCCCAGACCCCACCCCCGUACCUCUUCCCAACCGCCGAUUCAGCCAGAAGUCGCCAAUCUGCUCUUCCACUCCUUUAUCCUCAUCAUAUCGCCGCAAAGAUCUCCUCUCCCACUCUCGUUCCCUUGCUACGGUGCAGAUCUCAUCCGUACUACAACCACAACGCCGUGGACACUGGACACCACCACCACAUCCUUGGCGGCACUCCCUUCUGCUGGUGGCAGCUCAACGAUUGCUUGCUACCGUUGUGGCACUGGCGGUUUAUGAUGCUGCUGGGUCACCGUUGUGGCGCCGCCGACGAACCGCGAGCCCGUACACCGGCGUUGUCCCCUCCGCGUGGGCCGACCUAGACGGAAGGCAACGGAUCCAGCACCUUUCACCUCCAACGGCGCGGCCUCCUCAACUGAGCGGCGACGGCUGGACCUCCUCCGACUAGGUGCUUGGUGAGGAGCUCGAUGCGGGAGGGCGACCUGCAGCAGCGUCGGCGACAGCGACAGACGACUCCCUUACCCUUGCACCCCAUCUUCUCCAUGUAUCAUGCACUCUCGCACCGCUUGGUGAGGAGCUCGAUGCGGGAGGGCGACCUGCAGCAGCGUCGGCGGCAGCGACAGACGACUCCCUUACCCUUGCACCCCAUCUUCUCCCUGUAUCAUGCACUCUCGCACCGGGGCACACCAUCUUUGUCCUCUCUAAUGGCUCCUCCCCCAUCACUACUACUACACCGGUGUCAUGCUAGCCGAGAUUGUCGCCGGGGCCAACAUAAGAGUAAGAGUUCAUGACACAUACGAGUUCUAAAAUUACUGGUCUCAAUGUUUAGUGCACCUAAAACUGCUUUGGUGCAGUAGAAAGAAUGAGAAAUAUAGGGCCCAGCGGAGCAAAGGAAAAGUGUAACAGAAAUUAGAGAGUUGGAGGGUUCUCAGACUAUCAGAGAUUGAAAAGCCCCAAGGAUAAGAAGCAUUUGGAGCUGCAAAAAUGUGACAUAUAUUUCUUUAAAUAUUCACAUCAUGUAUUGUGACUGAUUUUUCUUUUUGAAGGAACCAGGGAUUAAUUACAAUUGGAAAAUGUGACAUAUAUUUCUUGAAAUAUUCACAUCAUGUACUGUGACUGAUUUUCCUUUUUGAAUGAACCGGGAACUAAUUACAAUUGGAUGUAA